rnacentral:tRNA from 1 species
GGGAAGAUGGCUCAGUGGUAGAGCACUUGCCUUGCAUUCAUGAGGCCCUGGGUU